UUUUGAUUUGGGCNGACCUCAGAGCAGGUGAGACCAC
rnacentral:rRNA from 1 species